rnacentral:rRNA from 1 species
AGCGGCGGACGGGUGAGUAAUGCUUAGGAAUCUGCCAUUUAGUGGGGGACAACAUUCCGAAAGGGAUGCUAAUACCGCAUACGUCCUACGGGAGAAAGCAGGGGAUCUUCGGACCUUGCGCUAAAUGAUGAACCUAAGUCGGAUUAGCUAGUUGGUGGGGUAAAGGCCUACCAAGGCGACGAUCUGUAGCGGGUCUGAGAGGAUGAUCCGCCACACUGGGACUGAGACACGGCCCAGACUCCUACGGGAGGCAGCAGUGGGGAAUAUUGGACAAUGGGCGGAAGCCUGAUCCAGCCAUGCCGCGUGUGUGAAGAAGGCCUUUUGGUUGUAAAGCACUUUAAGCGAGGAGGAGGCUACCUGGAUUAAUACUCUGGGAUAGUGGACGUUACUCGCAGAAUAAGCACCGGCUAACUCUGUGCCAGCAGCCGCGGUAAUACAGAGGGUGCGAGCGUUAAUCGGAUUUACUGGGCGUAAAGCGUGCGUAGGCGGCUUUUUAAGUCGGAUGUGAAAUCCCCGAGCUUAACUUGGGAAUUGCAUUCGAUACUGGGAAGCUAGAGUAUGGGAGAGGAUGGUAGAAUUCCAGGUGUAGCGGUGAAAUGCGUAGAGAUCUGGAGGAAUACCGAUGGCGAAGGCAGCCAUCUGGCCUAAUACUGACGCUGAGGUACGAAAGCAUGGGGAGCAAACAGGAUUAGAUACCCUGGUAGUCCAUGCCGUAAACGAUGUCUACUAGC